rnacentral:rRNA from 1 species
UACGUAGGGGGCAAGCGUUGUCCGGAUUUAUUGGGCGUAAAGAGCGUGUAGGCGGCCAGACAGGUCCGUUGUGAAAACUCGAGGCUCAACCUCGAGACGUCGACGGAAACCGUCUGGCUAGAGUCCGGAAGAGGAGUGUGGAAUUCCUGGUGUAGCGGUGAAAUGCGCAGAUAUCAGGAAGAACACCUAUGGCGAAGGCAGCACUCUGGGCCACUACUGACGCUGAGAAGCGAAAGCAUGGGGAGCGAACAGG